rnacentral:rRNA from 1 species
UAAAGCCUACGGGGCGCAGCAGUGGGGAAUAUUGGGCAAUGGGCGCAAGCCUGACCCAGCAACGCCGCGUGAAGGAAGAAGGCUUUCGGGUUGUAAACUUCUUUUAAGAGGGAAGAGCAGAAGACGGUACCUCUUGAAUAAGCCACGGCUAACUACGUGCCAGCAGCCGCGGUAAUACGUAGGGAGCAAGCGUUAUCCGGAAUUAUUGGGUGUAAAGGGUGCGUAGACGGGACAGCAAGUUAGUUGUGAAAGCCCUCGGCUUAACUGAGGAACUGCAACUAAAACUAUUGUUCUUGAGUGCAGGA